rnacentral:rRNA from 1 species
GGCAUUUAUGCCGCCACUUUUAAACUAGGUCGUCUGGUGGGGUGGUAUACUGCUAUUGCAGUAAUAUAUUGCUAUUGCGAUAGUAUCUGCUCUGCCGGACAACACCAGCGCGUAUGUGUGUGGCAGUCGACGUUAACAAAUAUACAACUUUUAACAAUGGAUCUCUUGGCUCUUGCAACGAUGAAGAACGCAGUAAAGUGCGAUAUGAAGUGCGAUUUGCAUGAAUCUGUGAGUCAUCAUAUCUUUGAACGCAACUUGCGCCCGGCAACGGGCAUGUCUGUUUGAGUGGCGAACAACGAUGGAUCUCUGUUAAUGACAGGGCGAUCUGAUGUGCCGGCAUUCGAUGCGGGUGAAACAGCGCAUGGGUCGGCGCGACGGCAGCCUGGGCCAGAGAGCAAUGCUCUUUCAGAAUGCCCGUCGCCAAGACCGGAUAUCACACACUGCCCUCAAAUCAGACAAGACUACCCGCUGAACUUAAGCAUAUCAAUAA